rnacentral:lncRNA from 1 species
AUAUUGAAAAAUACAUGAAUACAAAUGUGUUGCGUUCUUUUCAUUGUCAUUUAUGAGAUGGUCUCUGUAGUCAUCUCAAAUACACAACUGCCUUGAGGAAAUUAAGAUUUUAUCUCAGAGAUGCCCCGAGAGAUAUUCCGCUUCUGACAUUCAAAAUAGGUGUUAUUCCCCCAAAAGACACGGCUGCAAAAGACAAGGAUUUGGUUUGUUUGGAUCUCAGGCUCAGAGGUGUCAGUCAUUCACACUUCUCGGUUCAUGGAACAGUUUCGUAAUUGUUUUGAGCUGGGAACGGGUUUUGUAAAUCCCACCAUCUCUUCCCUUCACAGGUAAAAAUGUGCUUGUCCGUUGAUUCAGCCAAUGAAGAUCAGGCGAUCAGAGAGGGCGGAGCGAGACUGCAGGAGGAGUUCCUGGCUCCUCACCUGCCACUCCUGCUUGGCCUUUACUGCAGACCCCGGCAACUCCUCCUCAGGUGCUGGAAGCCACGCCUCCUCUUCACCUGCACGUCCAGGGACCCUGGAGGCGUUCUGCAGUCGCUAGCCCCCCACCCACUUUCCACACGUCGGUCGUUUCUCCCUGAGAUCAUCAAAAUACAUUGCUAACUUCGGAAAUAUGGCAUUUUAACUUUCCAGUGAAUUAUUAAAACAUCUUGAUGUGAAAUACUUAUCAAAAAUAGUAAUUGAAAUUUUAGUGCCCUGAUUUUUAAGUUUUUUCAAAAAGUUAUUAUUUUAUUUGAAUAGAUAAAAUUCUUGUGAUAAAUACUCAAAAAUCUAAUUUUCAAAAUAAUGUCCAGUGUGACGUUAAUCUUUUUAAAGUUCUGUUUAAUAUUUAGUGUCCAAAAUGCUCAAUAUUUUCUUUUUUAUUUAUUUAUUUGUAUUGUAAAUUCAGGGGUACCUUUGCAUAUUUGUUGCACAGGUAUUUUGCACGAUGGUGGGGACUGAUCUCGGUGUAGCCAUCACUCAAAUAUUGAACACUGUAUCCAAUAUGAAACUUCCCAACCCUCAGCCCUCUGGCCCCCCUCCCUGCCCCCAGUG